AAGUCGAGCGGGGAGAUGUAGCUUGCUACAUUUCCUAGCGGCGGACGGGUGAGUAAUGCUUAGGAAUCUGCCUAUUAGUGGGGGACAACAUUCCGAAAGGAAUGCUAAUACCGCAUACGCCCUACGGGGGAAAGCAGGGGAUCUUCGGACCUUGCGCUAAUAGAUGAGCCUAAGUCAGAUUAGCUAGUUGGUGGGGUAAAGGCCUACCAAGGCGACGAUCUGUAGCGGGUCUGAGAGGAUGAUCCGCCACACUGGGACUGAGACACGGCCCAGACUCCUACGGGAGGCAGCAGUGGGGAAUAUUGGACAAUGGGCGCAAGCCUGAUCCAGCCAUGCCGCGUGUGUGAAGAAGGCCUUUUGGUUGUAAAGCACUUUAAGCGAGGAGGAGGCUACUUGGAUUAAUAUUCUAGGAUAGUGGACGUUACUCGCAGAAUAAGCACCGGCUAACUCUGUGCCAGCAGCCGCGGUAAUACAGAGGGUGCGAGCGUUAAUCGGAUUUACUGGGCGUAAAGCGUGCGUAGGCGGCUUUUUAAGUCGGAUGUGAAAUCCCUGAGCUUAACUUAGGAAUUGCAUUCGAUACUGGGAAGCUAGAGUAUGGGAGAGGAUGGUAGAAUUCCAGGUGUAGCGGUGAAAUGCGUAGAGAUCUGGAGGAAUACCGAUGGCGAAGGCAGCCAUCUGG
rnacentral:rRNA from 1 species